UACGAAGGGGGCUAGCGUUGUUCGGAAUUACUGGGCGUAAAGAGCGCGCAGGCGGUCGUUCAAGUCGAGUGUGAAAGCCCCCGGCUCAACUGGGGAGGGUCACUCGAUACUGAUCGACUUGAAGGCAGGAGAGGGAAGCGGAAUUCCCGGUGUAGUGGUGAAAUGCGUAGAUAUCGGGAGGAACACCAGUGGCGAAGGCGGCUUCCUGGCCUGUUCUUGACGCUGAGGCGCGAAAGCUAGGGGAGCAAACGGG
rnacentral:rRNA from 1 species